UACGGGGGGGCAAGCGUUGUUCGGAAUUACUGGGCGUAAAGGGUCUGUAGGUGGCCAACUAAGUCAGACGUGAAAUCCCUCAGCUUAACUGGGGAACUGCGUCUGAUACUGGUUGGCUUGAGUGCAGGAGAGGAAUGCGGAAUUCCAGGUGUAGCGGUGAAAUGCGUAGAUAUCUGGAGGAACACCGGUGGCGAAGGCGGCAUCCUGGACCGGCAUUGACGCUGAGGCGCGAAAGCCAGGGGAGCAAACGGGG
rnacentral:rRNA from 1 species